rnacentral:rRNA from 1 species
GACGAACGCUGGCGGCGUGCUUAACACAUGCAAGUCGAACGGAAAGGCCUCUUUCGGGGGGUACUCGAGUGGCGAACGGGUGAGUAACACGUGAGUAACCUGCCCUUGACUUUGGGAUAACUUCAGGAAACUGGGGCUAAUACCGGAUAGGAGCUCCUGCUGCAUGGUGGGGGUUGGAAAGUUUCGGCGGUUGGGGAUGGACUCGCGGCUUAUCAGCUUGUUGGUGGGGUAGUGGCUUACCAAGGCUUUGACGGGUAGCCGGCCUGAGAGGGUGACCGGCCAAAUUGGGACUGAGAAACGGCCCAGACUCCUACGGGAGGCAACGGUGGGGAAUAUUGCCAAAUGGGUGGAAGCCUGAUGCGGCAACCCCGGGUGCGGGAUGACGGCCUUCGGGUUUUAACCCCUUUUCGCUCAUGAAGAAGCUUUGUGUGACGGUAGUGGGUAAAGAAGCACCGGCUAACUACGU